rnacentral:rRNA from 1 species
GGUGCCAGCAGCCGCGGUAAUUCCAGCUCCAAUAGCGUAUAUUAAAGUUGUUGCAGUUAAAAAGCUCGUAGUUGAAUUUCGGGGUCAAUACGUCGGUCGUGCCUCCGGUAUGUACUGGUGUUAUUGAUUCCUCCCUUCUGAUGAACCAUGAUGUCAUUCAUUUGGUGUUGCGGGGAGUCAGGACUGUUACUUUGAAAAAAUUAGAGUGUUUAAAGCAGGCUCACGCUUGAAUACAUUAGCAUGGAAUAAUGAAAUAGGACGUUCGAUCCUAUUUUGUUGGUUUCUAGGAUCAACGUAAUGAUUAAUAGGGAUAGUUGGGGGCAUUAGUAUUCAAUUGUCAGAGGUGAAAUUCUUGGAUUUAUUGAAGACUAACUACUGCGAAAGCAUUUGCCAAGGAUGUUUUCAUUAAUCAAGAACGAAAGUUAGGGGAUCGAAGACGAUCAGAUACCGUCGUAGUCUUAACCAUAAACUAUGCCGACUAGGGAUCGGAUGAUGUUAAUUUUUUAAUGACUCAUUCGGCGCCUUUACGGGA